GACGAACGCUGGCGGCGUGCUUAACACAUGCAAGUCGAACGGAAAGGCCCUGCUUUUGUGGGGUGCUCGAGUGGCGAACGGGUGAGUAACACGCGAGUAACCUGCCCUUGACUUUGGGAUAACUUCAGGAAACUGGGGCUAAUACCGGAUAGGAGCUCCUGCUGCAUGGUGGGGGUUGGAAAGUUUCGGCGGUUGGGGAUGGACUCGCGGCUUAUCAGCUUGUUGGUGGGGUAGUGGCUUACCAAGGCUUUGACGGGUAGCCGGCCUGAGAGGGUGACCGGCCACAUUGGGACUGAGAUACGGCCCAGACUCCUACGGGAGGCAGCAGUGGGGAAUAUUGCACAAUGGGCGGAAGCCUGAUGCAGCAACGCCGCGUGCGGGAUGACGGCCUUCGGGUUGUAAACCGCUUUCGCCUGUGACGAAGCGUGAGUGACGGUAAUGGGUAAAGAAGCACCGGCUAACUACGUGCCAGCAGCCGCGGUGAUACGUAGGGUGCGAGCGUUGUCCGGAUUUAUUGGGCGUAAAGGGCUCGUAGGUGGUUGAUCGCGUCGGAAGUGUAAUCUUGGGGCUUAACCCUGAGCGUGCUUUCGAUACGGGUUGACUUGAGGAAGGUAGGGGAGAAUGGAAUUCCUGGUGGAGCGGUGGAAUGCGCAGAUAUCAGGAGGAACACCAGUGGCGAAGGCGGUUCUCUGGGCCUUUCCUGACGCUGAGGAGCGAAAGCGUGGGGAGCGAACAGGCUUAGAUACCCUGGUAGUCCACGCUGUAAACGGUGGGUACUAGGUGUGGGGUCCAUUCCACGGGUUCCGUGCCGUAGCUAACGCUUUAAGUACCCCGCCUGGGGAGUACGGCCGCAAGGCUAAAACUCAAAGGAAUUGACGGGGCCCCGCACAAGCGGCGGAGCAUGCGGAUUAAUUCGAUGCAACGCGUAGAACCUUACCUGGGUUUGACAUGGAUCGGGAGUGCUCAGAGAUGGGUGUGCCUCUUUUGGGGUCGGUUCACAGGUGGUGCAUGGCUGUCGUCAGCUCGUGUCGUGAGAUGUUGGGUUAAGUCCCGCAACGAGCGCAACCCUUGUUCACUGUUGCCAGCACGUUAUGGUGGGGACUCAGUGGAGACCGCCGGGGUCAACUCGGAGGAAGGUGGGGAUGACGUCAAGUCAUCAUGCCCCUUAUGUCCAGGGCUUCACGCAUGCUACAAUGGCUGGUACAGAGAGUGGCGAGCCUGUGAGGGUGAGCGAAUCUCGGAAAGCCGGUCUCAGUUCGGAUUGGGGUCUGCAACUCGACCUCAUGAAGUCGGAGUCGCUAGUAAUCGCAGAUCAGCAACGCUGCGGUGAAUACGUUCCCGGGGCUUGUACACACCGCCCGUCAAGUCAUGAAAGUUGGUAACACCCGAAGCCGGUGGCCUAACCGUUGUGGGGGAGCCGUCGAAGGU
rnacentral:rRNA from 1 species